rnacentral:lncRNA from 1 species
GAUAAGAAAAAAAAUGCAAAAUGAAAAGAAAAAAAUAAAAAGAAUAAAAGUAGUCGCACUCAACCUGAAUGAGCAAUAAAAGAAAAAUGAGAGAAUAAGGGCGGAAUAAAAUAAAAAAGUUGGUUGAUAAGUGGAUCCCUAACAUAAUUGUAGUGCCAAUAAGGCUUAGCCACUAAAUUCCUAAACAUACCAUACCAGCCCCCAAGCCUACGUUAUAGACGAAGUAAAGUCCUAUAGUGAUCCUAGUCCAACUGUCUAAAAAAAUGAGGUAGAGAAAAUAAGGGCAAGCCUAUGGUAUUCUAUGCACAUUGUUGGAACUUAUUUUAUGAGUUUCGGGGGUUCCGUGGGAUAAAAAUUGACCUAGGUAUCCUAGGGAGGCUUGGGAUCUUCCUAGUGUUGGCCAUUUAUGUGGGUGGGUCUAUUUGGUUUGUCAAACGGGUGAAACGGCAUGAACGGGGUAUUUUAUGAGUGUGAAUGUCUUGUUACAGUCCCAGCAUUGACAUGUAUGAUUCUAACGUCUUGUUAUAGUUGCAG